CCUACGGGAGGCAGCAGUGGGGAAUUUUGGACAAUGGGCGAAAGCCUGAUCCAGCCAUUCCGCGUGCAGGAUGAAGGCCUUCGGGUUGUAAACUGCUUUUGUACGGAACGAAAAGGCUCUGGUUAAUACCUGGGGCUCAUGACGGUACCGUAAGAAUAAGCACCGGCUAACUACGUGCCAGCAGCCGCGGUAAU
rnacentral:rRNA from 1 species